GGGGAAUAUUGGACAAUGGGCGCAAGCCUGAUCCAGCCAUGCCGCGUGAGUGACGAAGGUCUUCGGAUUGUAAAGCUCUUUUGGCGGGGACGAUAAUGACGGUACCCGCAGAAUAAGCCCCGGCUAACUUCGUGCCAGCAGCCGCGGUAAUACGAAGGGGGCUAGCGUUGUUCGGAAUUACUGGGCGUAAAGCGCACGUAGGCGGAUUUGCCAGUCAGGGGUGAAAUCCCGGGGCUCAACCUCGGAACUGCCCUUGAUACAGCAAGUCUUGAGUCCGGAAGAGGUGAGUGGAAUUCCUAGUGUAGAGGUGAAAUUCGUAGAUAUUAGGAAGAACACCAGUGGCGAAGGCGGCUCACUGGUCCGGUACUGACGCUGAGGUGCGAAAGCGUGGGGAGCAAAC
rnacentral:rRNA from 1 species